rnacentral:rRNA from 1 species
AGCGAACGCUGGCGGCGUGCUUAACACAUGCAAGUCGAGUGCGUAGCCCUUUGUAGCAAUACAGAGGGUGGGCGCACGGCGCACGGGCGAGUAACACGUGGGUAACCUGCCCUUCGGUGGGGAAUAACCCCGCGAAAGCGGGGCUAAUUCCGCAUAACAUUCCGGGGACACAUGUUCUCGGACUCAAAGGAGUGAUUCGCCGGAGGAGGGGCCCGCGCCCGAUUAGCUUGUUGGUAGGGUAACGGCCACCAAGGCUUUGAUCGGUAGCCGGUCUGAGAGGAUGGCCGGCCACACUGGAACUGAGACACGGUCCAGACUCCUACGGGAGGCAGCAGUGGGGAAUCUUGCGCAAUGGGCGAAAGCCUGACGCAGCGACGCCGCGU